AUUCCAAGCCUCUCUCAUCACAGAUGCAGGUUCAUCCCUCCUUCCUUUUGAGGAUUGGACUCCAGCUCCCUUCUCCUCUUCCGCUGCCCUGUGAGCAAUCUUUUAAGAUCUCACUCAAUUCAUGUCUUCUGUCACAAGUGCUUCUCACUCACAUCUUCAGAACAGAACAGAACAGAACAGCAUCUUGUUCCAGUUUGUUUUACAUGGUUUGACAAAGGAAGAAGGACAAGCAUUUCCUCUUUCCAUCUGUAAUUUCUCCGUAGCUCGCCUAAGCUGCCACUGACAGCCCAGGUCAAUGCCUUGGUUUCCUGGGGCUGCAAACUUCUCUUCCAGGAAUCCUAGCUUGGAUGCUGCUGCCAGGCAAGGAGAACUGGAAUGGCUUGCUGGCAUGAAUCUUAACCCAUCCCUCUUUUCUGGAGGGUACAAGAAUCCAGGAGAUUUCAUCUGCAGCUAAAUGAGAGGAGAAUCAAUACUUGAUUUUCACUUUCCUGCAUACAAAUCUCACUUAAAACAUUCUGUUUUGUCUCUGGUCCUAUUUUUCAUGGAGUCUUUUUUUUUUUCACUUUUAAUUUUGAAAAGCUACUUCAUAUCCCCCUCAGAAUUCAUACAAAUUCCUCCUGUUCAAUUUAAAAGCAAAAUCAAAUUGCUGGAAGUCACUCACAUAGGUAGAAAGGAAGAGAUAACGCUUUUGAGAAUGACUUGUAAAGAUUAUGAUACAGAAUAGAGAAGAGGAGCAAAUGCAAAGAUGAUUCCUUUGACAAGAUGAAAAACGGUACUCUAAUACACCUGCUUUAUAGCCUAGCUGCUGUUUAGAGUGAAAUUCUUCCACCUUCAAGCAAGAAUCAGAGGUUCUUUCAGGCUUCACACAAUAAUAUGAUGAAGAGGCACGCUGAAGGUGAAUAAACACUAAUUUGUUUGCGUGUGAAUAAGGCAUCAUUUAUGUAGCAACUUCUACAGAUUGGGUACUGGAGAUUUUUCCAAAACGAAUAAUGCUCCUGCUUUUGAGCUUACAAUGUAGUAGGAAAGAUAAACAGAGUGUGAUAAGUGACAUCAUAAAGGCACAAACAAAUUCCUGUGAGCACAAAGUGGAAAGCCCCUGAGCUGGAAAAUAGCACUGAGGUGGUUUCAUGAAAGAGGAAGCAGCAAGGCUGGGCCUUGAAGAACGUGAAGGAGUCACCCAGCUAGAGAGGGCAGGAGGGUGUUCCACGAAGUACAAACAUCAUGAACAGAAAGUCAAAGAGUGAAAGUGAAGGGAGGAUUGGGGAGCAGUGAACAGACAAUGUGAGAGAGCUGCGGCACCAUGGAGAAGAGUAAUGAGAGGGACAUCCUGAAGGAAAGACAAUAUGAAGGACUGUCGAUGCCAAAGAAAGGACUUUCAGCCAUAUGCACGCAAUGGGGAGCAAUGCAAGAUUGUCAACCAAGAGACUGAGGUGACCAGAUCUGCUUCACAGCAGCAGCAGCAGCAGUGUACAUGGAAGAUUAGAGGACCGAGAGAGAUGCAUGUCAGGAAAAUCAGCUAACAGACUCUAAAAUAACUAAGACUUGAGAAAGAUCUGGAUCAAAGCUUUAACAGCAGCAAUAAAGAAAAAAGAAGAGACAUUUCUGUAAUCAGAUCUAGAAAAGUUGAUGACCCCCAGGAUAACAGCCAUGAAAGUGCUGCUACCACAAACAUGAGGAAACUUCUGUUAGGAGUUCAACCUUCAGAGAGGACAGCUGGCAGUGCAAGAUGGUGACAGCCCUGCAAUCAGGAGAAGAAAGUCAUGAGAGUAAGGAAUGAUGGAGAGGGAUGAGAGCGUUUUCUAGGAUUUGAAGAGUUAAGAGACUCUGAAUAAUUGGCAGGGGAAGCUGGGAUGGAGAACAAAGUAGGAGAAGAAUCAUUUGCUGUGAACUCUGUAUUUGGAUUCCAUUUUUGAUGAUCUUUGAAAAUGGGAAUAAAGGAUUUGGGUUAUUUUUAAAUUCCUUUGGAGGCUAGACAGUUUCCCUAAAUUCAGCAUUCCCUUUGAAACUAGACCGCAUGAGUCUCUGGUUUGUGCAGGGUUACCCUGGGUCAGAGUUGCCUCUAGAAUAAGCAAUGGGUAAGUCCUUGAGCUGUUGGAAGCGCAUGGAGUGCCUGACAGUCUUCUGCACAUUAGGCAUAGGGGACCCUUUUGGGGGAAGAGGAUGAAGAAUAGGAGGGGUGAUGGGAGCAUGUUGGGUUGUGCCAGUUUAAAGAGAACGUGAAAAAGAUAAGCAAGCAAAUGAGGCUGCAAAAGAGGAAUCAUGGGAGAAUGAGGAAAAUUAAGUGAUCAUAGCAUCCCUGAGGUCAAAAGAGCAGGGGUUUCAGGGAGAGUGCCAGGGCAUUAGUUAAUACAAAGAAGAGACCACUGGCUUUGCACCCUGGAGGUCAAUGCUAUCCUCUUCCUAAUCCAUUACUAUAGAGUGAUGGGGACCAGCGUUUGUGUAUUGAGGAGAUAAUGAGAAGUGUAAAUGGAAAACAACCAGAAGAUAACAAGGAUAAACAACUCUUUCAAAAAUAUAGUCACAGGUCACUUAACAGGACUACAUUCUGAGAAAUGCACUAUUAGACAAUUUUAUUGUUGUGCGAACAUCAACAGAGUAGCUUACACAAACCUAGAUGGUGUAGCCUACUAGGCUAGAAGGUGUAGUCUAUUGAUCCUAGGCUACAAACCUACACAGCAUGGUACUGUACUCAAUACUGUAGGCAACUAUAACACAAUGGUAAGGAUUUGUGUACCUAAAUAUACCUAAACAUAGAAAAGGGCUAGGUGCAGUGGCUCACACCUGUAAUCCCAGCACUUUGGGAGGCUGAGGCAGGCGGAUCACCUGAGGCCAGGAGUUUGAGACCAGCCUGACCAACAUGGCAAAACCCGGUCUCUACUAAAAACACAAAAAUUAGCUGGGCAUGGUAGCACAUGAUUGUAAAAUCUCAGUUACUCGGGAGGCUGAGGCAUGAGAAUUGCUUGAACCCAGGAGCUGGAGGUUGCAGUGAGCAGAGAUCACGCCACUGGACUCCAGCCUGGGCAACAGAGCAAGACUCUG
rnacentral:lncRNA from 10 species